rnacentral:rRNA from 1 species
UACGUAGGGUGCGAGCGUUGUCCGGAAUUAUUGGGCGUAAAGAGCUCGUAGGCGGCUUGUUGCGUCGACUGUGAAAAACCACGACUCAACCGUGGGACUGCAGUCGAUACGGGCAGGCUAGAGUUCGGUAGGGGAGACUGGAAUUCCUGGUGUAGCGGUGAAAUGCGUAGAGAUCGGGAGGAACACCAGUGGCGAAGGCGGCUACCUGGACCAGCACUGACACUGAGGCACGAAAGCGUGGGGAGCAAACAGG